rnacentral:lncRNA from 1 species
GGCUCAGGCCAGAGGCUGUGGUGAGAAGCCAUGAAGGGAGGCAGGGGCAGGGCCAGCUCCACCUGCUGGACUGGGGCAUGUUCCCCUCCAGGCAUAGGCUGGGAAAGCAAGGGCCCCUCCUCCAGCUUCCCAGGAAACUGCUUCUUGCUCUGAUUGAUGAUGAUGAGAUUUGACUGGUGGCUUGAUUCUGCCCUAGACUGGUGAAGGCCAGCUGGUAGAUGGAGCAUCCACACAGGAAGAGGCUGGCUGUGCCCCUUUGGUCCCCACCUUGAGAGAAGUAGGCAAAUCCUGUGUCACUGAAUACAGUCUGGCAUCAGUGGUAGAUGUGGGGGAUUUGUGGGUGCAGGGGGAUCUCCUCAUGAGCUAGGAGUAGGAUGUCUCCUAAGUUGAUGAGUCUGGAUUCCAGUGAAGAUCAGGUUCCUCUGAGCCUUGUAUGUAUGUGUGCAAGAGGUGUCUGUGACCUCCCACAAAGGUCCUGUCCCCCUGUUCUGUUGCACCAGGAUGAAUGUGACCUCUAGAUGCUCCUGGCUCCCAACAGUCACCCUGGAAUGGGAGACAACAGGAGUCAUAUCCCUGGACUCCCCCUGGGCACUGAGGCCUUGGGUGCAUAGGGUCAGGCUCCCUGGGGACAAGUAACCUUCGAGAGCUCCAGUCUGUUCCAAGCAUGCUCUCCUGCCCACAGUGCCUGGCCGCUGGCUCCAUCAUCAUGAACCGAGAACUCGAAAGCAUGGCUAUGCGGCCACUGGCCAAGGAACUGACCCGCAGCCUGGAGGAUGUGCGGAGCACACUCCGUGACCAGGCGCUACGGGACCUCAACACCUACACGGAGAAGAUGCGGGAGGCACUGAGGCAUUUUGACAUCCUGUUUGCUGAGUUCGAAUUGAGCUACGUCUCGGCCAUGGUGCCUGUGAAGUCCCCCAGGGAGUACUACGUGCAGCAGGAUGUCAUUGUGCUGUUCUGCGAGACCGUGGAAAGGUAAGGACAAGCUGCCCAGGGUGGCAUCUUGUCUGGGACACCCAGGUGGGAGCACAGCAGCCUCCCCUCCCCCUCACUCACCUACUGGUGGGCAGAAGGCAGAGUCCUUACUCACUUGCACCCAGGUUCCCUCUGUUCCCAUAGGGUAGGCACCACCAGUAGAGGCCUAUGAGCUGGAAGGUGGCCACUGUCCAGACCUCCACCCUGGUCCCCUUGUCCCCUCACUCCUGCUGCUCUUACCUCUCUGCCUCCUCAUCCUCAUCGCCCACCUCCCUACUUCUGCGGCUCCUCGCUUUGUGGGCCCCUGAGGGCUCAGGCCUGCCCACCAUGGUUCUGUGGAUGGAUCAUUGCUGCUUCUGUUAGGCCUUGAUCUGAUUCAGUCAGAUUCUCGAAAUAGACUCUGGGGCCAAGAUUCACCUCAGAGUGUUGACUGUGGUGUUAGUUUGGAAACUGACUCAAUCA